UGGGGAAUCUUGCGCAAUGGGCGAAAGUCUGACGCAGCGACGCCGCGUGAGGGAAGAAGGCCUUCGGGUUGUAAACCUCUUUCAGGAGGGACGAAGCCACUCGGGUUAAUACCCCAGAGGGUGACGGUACCUCCAGAAGAAGCCCCGGCUAACUACGUGCCAGCAGCCGCGGUAAUACGCAGGGGGCAAGCGUUGUCCGGAAUUAUUGGGCGUAAAGCGCGUGUAGGCGGCCAGAUAAGUCCGCUGUGAAAUCUCGAGGCUCAACUUCGAGCUGUCGGUGGAAACUGUCUGGCUAGAGUGCGGAAGAGGGGAAUGGAAUUCCUGGUGUAGCGGUGAAAUGCGCAGAUAUCAGGAAGAGCACCCGUGGCGAGGGCGGUUCUCUGGGACGGUACUGACGCUGAGACGCGAGAGCGUGGGGAGCGAACAGG
rnacentral:rRNA from 1 species